rnacentral:lncRNA from 1 species
CACGUAUCAAAUUUCCUUUUCAUGGCUGAAUUAAUGUUCCAUUGUACGUACGCCACAUUUUCCUUAUCCAUCUGUUGAUGGACACUUGGGUUACCUUCCGCAUUUUACUAUUGUGAAUAAUGCUGCUAUGAACACAGGAGUACAAAUAUCCCUUCAAGACUGUGCUUUCUUUUAGAUAUACGCCCAGAAGUGGAACUGCUGGAUCAUAUGGUGAGUCUAUUUUUAAUUUUUUGAGGAAGUGCCAUAUGGCUUUCCAUGGCUGCUGUAACAUUAUAUAUUCCCACCAAUAGUGCCCAAGGAUUCCAAUUUUUCUUUGCUGUUUUUUUGGAGUCGGAGUCUCACUCUGUCGCCUAGGCUGGAAUGCAGUGGCAUGAUCUUGGCUCACUGCAACCACCACCUCCCGGGUUCAAGCAAUUCUCC